UGGAGAGGGAGAGAGUGUACAUGUGUUUGGUCAUUUCUCCUCUUCGCUUUGUUCUACUUCCUGUAUCACACGGGAACAGCCAAUCAGUUCAUGCGUUGCAGUAACGAUGAUGACUAGUGAAUAGUCUAGAAUCUUCCUCUGUGUUUGGGCUGGUGAUGAUGACGACGCCCAGGAGAGAUGCAGCCCAACCUGAAUACAUGUUAGUGUGAGACUGAGCGUUGCCACGACAACAACCUCCACUGUGUUCCUGUGGAUUUACGCAUCACGUUAUUAAUGCUUAGACUGGACUGCAUGGUUUCAUGGGGAAUACAUUACCUACGAAGCUAUGACAAAGUGUGUCACACACACACACACACACACACACACACACACACACACACACACACACACACACCACUACCCUUUUGACACACAUCCCUCAGCAAAAAAUUCAGGUCCUUUAGUUUUAGUGUUUUGUGAGUUUUAUUGCUGAAAAAAAUGCAACUGUUAUUUUCGUGUUAUUUCCACAUCACUGAUAUACAACCAGCCCAAAGAAUGUAACGUAUGUACCUUGUUUGACUGUGUCCCAAAUGACACCCUAUUUCCUAUAUAGUGCCCUACGUUUUAUCCAGAGCUGGUCUAAAGUAGUGCACUAUGUGUAUGAAACAGGGUGGGACGUAGGCAUUCUGCUGUAGAAGAGAAACAGGCUUUUGUCUAAUCAAGUGGUUCAAUCAUGUUCCAUUCAAUAGUAUGAGAAUCCAGUUCCGGAAUUCUACGUUCUGAUUCUAUGAUUCCGUUGUUCCGAUGUUACUGUAACAAGCACCUCUGUUUGGACUAUUCUGAAUGUUGGACCUGAACCGUGUUUCUUUACCAUUGACAGACUGAAACCCAACUGUUAUUUCACCAAUACACACCGUGGUGGUUUCUAGAACUAACUGUUAUUUCACCAAUACACACCGUGGUGGUUUCUAGAACUAACUGUUAUUUCACCAAUACACACCGUGGUGGUUUCUAGAACUAACUGUUAUUUCACCAAUACACACCGUGGUGGUUUCUAGAACUAACUGUUAUUUCACCAAUACACACCGUGGUGGUUUCUAGAACUAACUGUUAUUUCACCAAUACACACUGUGGUGGUUUCUAGAACUAACUGUUAUUUCACCAAUACACACCGUGGUGGUUUCUAGAACUAACUGUUAUUUCACCAAUACACACCGUGGUGGUUUCUAGAACUAACUGUUAUUUCACCAAUACACACCGUGGUGGGUUCUAGAACUAACUGUUAUUUCACCAAUACACACUGUGGUGGUUUCUAGAACUAACUGUUAUUUCACCAAUACACACCGUGGUGGUUUCUAGAACUAACUGUUAUUUCACCAAUACACACCGUGGUGGUUUCUAGAACUAACUGUUAUUUCACCAAUACACACCGUGGUGGUUUCUAGAACUAACUGUUAUUUCACCAAUACACACCGUGGUGGUUUCUAGAACUAACUGUUAUUUCACCAAUACACACCGUGGUGGUUUCUAGAACUGUUAUUUCACCAAUACACACCGUGGUGGUUUCUAGAACUAACUGUUAUUUCACCAAUACACACCGUGGUGGUUUCUAGAACUAACUGUUAUUUCACCAAUACACACCGUGGUGGUUUCUAGAACUAACUGUUAUUUCACCAAUACACACCGUGGUGGGUUCUAGAACUAACUGUUAUUUCACCAAUACACACCGUGGUGGGUUCUAGAACUAACUGUUAUUUCACCAAUACACACCGUGGUGGUUUCUAGAACUAACUGUUAUUUCACCAAUACACACCGUGGUGGUUUCUAGAACUAACUGUUAUUUCACCAAUACACACCGUGGUGGUUUCUAGAACUGUUAUUUCACCAAUACACACCGUGGUGGUUUCUAGAACUGUUAUUUCACCAAUACACACCGUGGUGGUUUCUAGAACUGUUAUUUCACCAAUACACACCGUGGUGGGUUCUAGAACUAACUGUUAUUUCACCAAUACACACCGUGGUGGUUUCUAGAACUGUUAUUUCACCAAUACACACCGUGGUGGUUUCUAGAACUAACUGUUAUUUCACCAAUACACACCGUGGUGGGUUCUAGAACUGUUAUUUCACCAAUACACACCGUGGUGGUUUCUAGAACUAACUGUUAUUUCACCAAUACACACUGUGGUGGUUUCUAGAACUAACUGUUAUUUCACCAAUACACACCGUGGUGGUUUCUAGAACAAACUGUUAUUUCACCAAUACACACUGUGGUGGUUUCUAGAACUAACUGUUAUUUCACCAAUACACACCGUGGUGGUUUCUAGAACUGUUAUUUCACCAAUACACACCGUGGUGGUUUCUAGAACUAACUGUUAUUUCACCAAUACACACCGUGGUGGUUUCUAGAACUAACUGUUAUUUCACCAAUACACACCGUGGUGGUUUCUAGAACUGUUAUUUCACCAAUACACACCGUGGUGGUUUCUAGAACUAACUGUUAUUUCACCAAUACACACCGUGGUGGUUUCUAGAACUAACUGUUAUUUCAUCAAUACACACCGUGGUGGUUUCUAGAAAUCCUGCUAGUUUACUGGUUAAAAACCAGCUCAGAAACCGACUAGUUUUUAUGUACACUUACCAGGUAACCCCAACUAGUUUUAAUGCACACUUACCAGGUAACCCCAACUAGUUUUAAUGCACACUUACAAGGUAACCCCAACUAGUUUUAAUGCACACUUACCAGGUAACCCCAACUAGUUUUAAUGCACACUUACCAGGUAACCCCAACUAGUUUUAAUGCACACUUACCAGGUAACCCCAACUAGUUUUAAUGCACACUUACCAGGUAACCCCAACUAGUUUUAAUGUACACUUACCAGGUACCCCCAACUAGUUUUAAAGUACACUUACCAGGUACCCCCAACUAGUUUUAAAGUACACUUACCAGGUAAUCCCAACUAGUUUUAAUGUACACUUACCAGGUAACCCCAACUAGUUUUAAAGUACACUUACCAGGUAAUCCCAACUAGUUUUAAUGUACACUUACCGGGUAACCCCAACUAGUUUUAAUGUACAUUUACCAGGUAAUCCCAACUAGUUUUAAUGUACCUCGGUCAAAAUGAAAAUAAAACCCAAUUUACAAAUGUA